rnacentral:rRNA from 1 species
GACGAACGCUGGCGGCGUGCCUAAUACAUGCAAGUAGAACGCUGAAGGAGGAGCUUGCUCUUCUGGAUGAGUUGCGAACGGGUGAGUAACGCGUAGGUAACCUGCCUGGUAGCGGGGGAUAACUAUUGGAAACGAUAGCUAAUACCGCAUAAGAGUAGAUGUUGCAUGACAUUUGCUUAAAAGGUGCAAUUGCAUCACUACCAGUUGGACCUGCGUUGUAUUAGCUAGUUGGUGGGGUAACGAAUCACCAAGGCGACGAUACAUAGCCGACCGGAGAGGGGGAUCGGCCACACUGGGACGGAGACACGGCCCAGAGGCCUACGGGAGGCAGCAGUAGGGAAUCUGCGGCAAGGGGCGGAAGUCUGACCGAGCAACGCCGAGUGAGUGAAGAAGGUUGUCGGAUCGGAAAGCUCGGUUGUAAGAGAAGAACGAGUGUGAGAGUGGAAAGUUCACACUGUGACGGUAUCUGACCAGAAAGGGACGGCUAACUACGUG